CCUCUGCUUCCUCUGCCCACUCAUAACUUCACACUUUUCCCCAAGCUGCCUUUGCCUGGAACACCUUCCCUAAAAGAAACACGAAGCCUCUUCUCUUUUUCUCUUUCAAAAAAAUUAAUCUCCUCCGAGCCCAUCUGCUCUAGAAAACCAUCCAGAUACAAUGGCUGCUCUUCCCCUUCGACAGGCCACAAGGCCAGCAAACAUCACAGCCCCUCAGGUGUCCCUAGUCCUGAAGAUGGACAUCACUUCCUGCCUAUCUGUCCUGCAGGAGCAGGGGAAUGAGGCAGGCAAGGCUGCUACAGCUUGGCAUGAAGGACUGAAGGGGGAUGAAGGGCGUCCCACAGCCCCAGUGACCAGUCAAGGCAGGUGCGCUGAGGCAGGGAGGGAUGGAGAACAGAAGGAGACUCUUGGAGCCAGGAGUCCUGGGUUCACAGCAUCAUUCCUCCCUUACCCAGCAUGUGACCUUGGGCAGGGUGUUCUACCUUCAAGGGUCUGCGAUUUCUCAUCUGAGAACCAGGAGGCCUGGCCAGAGAAGGCAAAGACAAGUCUCCCUUCUCUAUAGGCUGGAAUUAGGAGGUGAUCCCUUCUCCCUGAGACUGGCACAACUGCUCUUCCAUCUACAGCCAGGCAAGCCAAGAUAGUACACGUGAUAUUUGGCACGUCCAUCUGUGGAGGGAAUGAACUCUGCCCAAAUUCACCCAUCAAUUAAGGUCUGUUCAAAGUCAAUGAAGAUACAGAACGCUUUUUAAAAAGGUCACUUGCACUGCAAACCACAAAUUGUCAGCCUCCUGUCAAGUGGAAUGUCAAAACAACUCAUUAGAACAGGAACUCUUGAUAUUGUUUGGUGUAUGAGAAUUGGGCUAUUUUUUGUUUCCUCCAAAUUCUUACCAUGGCUGGAAGGCAAGUGGGAAAGGUUUUGCUAUUGGUCCCACAAUUCUCAUCCUUGGUCACUGAAAGUGAAUAGGAAGUUAAAUGGCCAAGUGUGAUGGCAAUUUGCCAGGGAUGAUUUUGAGACACAACAGCAUCUCCCAAUCUACUCCUGUAAUCAGGGUGCUCUGUUGACACCUUUGACGCCCCAGGAGCUUGUGUUGAUGAAUCUGCAGAACAGCAACAACUCCAUCCGGGGUGUUCAGCGAUGGCAAUUUAACCAAAUCCAAAGCACCGCAGUCCGAUUGACUGAAUACUCAUAUACACAGGGAAGAUUCAGUUACUAUAUUACAAUCGGGUGUUCUGGCCAGAACAACCAGCUAAUUCCAAUUCUAAUUCAUAGCAUAAUUGCUCAUCUGGACCCUGAGUAAUGACCAAAGGGUCUCUGGGUUUUUAAAAAAUCGCAGAAGUGUGUGUGUGCCAUUUUCUCUGGCAGAACAUGGUAAGGUCUAGAGAAAGGGAACACUUCUCUCUGUCCCCUACUCCUACUCUGAGUUAG